rnacentral:lncRNA from 1 species
AACAAUCAAAAACAGAAGUGAGAUGAAGAUUGGAAGUCAAGAAAAGAAUAACAUAUUUUUGGCAUUUUUUAAUAUUAAAAUAAACUUGAAUUAAAAUAUUAAAGAAAGGUCAAACUUCAAAAUCACUUCAAAUCAACCUUGAAAGGUCCAAGUGAUUUAUCCCAAGUUCAACAAGGUCAAACAAAGUUUGACAAAAAAUUUCAGCAUUUUUAAAAG